CCCAGCCUGCCCUGCGGCGCAGGGAGGAGCACCGCGUGCCGCUAGCCUGGUUCCUGCUUUUGGAGGUUUGGCGACAAAGUGACAGCUGGCCGGUUUGGCUCCUCCCCUCACUCCUGGCGUUCUGGCUCUCCCUGUUUUUCCUCUCCUAGGAACCACCUCCUCCUCACGGCAGCAGCGAGAGGUCCUGUGUUAUCUUAAAUUUGGGAUGCGUAUAUCAUCAGAUACACCUUUUUCAGUGGACAUAAUUUUUUGAAGAAAUGUGAAGAUUACCAUAUGAAAUUUUACAUAGAGUCAGGGUUCACACUAGGAGAAGGAGCCUAUUGAUGGUCAGCGUAGCACCAGAGUUUUUCAAGAAGAUGUGGACAUUAUUUAAGAAAGAGCAGGACAGAAGACAGAAUCAGGUCUGCAUAAGAAUGAAAGACUGGGUUCCCAAGAAAAUGUGUUUGAGUUGGGGUUACUUAUAGGAAGUUGUGGAAAAGCGACAGAAUGUAAGCUCAGACUUGAAAGAUGAACAUUUUAUUUUCUCAGGAUAGAAAGAUUGGAUAGAGUAAUGAUUUCCAAAACUGGCUCAUCAAAAUCUCAAGUUUCUUUUUUUACAAGUAUAAACACCAGUUUUCAUCCUAGACCCAUGAAAUGAGACUUGCC
rnacentral:lncRNA from 1 species